UUUUAUAAGCAAUUAUAAAUCUAUGAAGGUGUCAUUCUUAACCUGCUGUGAUAAUGUUUGUUAAAAAUGAACUCUGUCCUCUGUAAACUGUAGUGAUUUUCCCAAACCUGAAAAUAUUUUCCUCAAAAUAAUGAAAACUGUAGCAGAGUGAAAUAUAGUGAAUUCUACAAAAUUAAGUGGGUCUUGCCUGUGUUCUGAGGAAAUGUAUUUACUCUUUUACUUGUUUAACAUUGUGGCAGGUCGUGUGGUUAACAGCGAAGAACCACACAGAAAUGAGUGAUCAGCAGAUGAAUAGGACAACACAACCUUUCACCUCACUGUGGACGUGUGUACUCAAGGGAAGUUUUUACUUAUCAGAGUGCAAACCAGAGCCAAAAGACUGUCAAGUAUGAAGCACAAUGGUCGUGAAGACACUUUGCUGUCAUGAAGUGGAGAAGAGUCAUGGCUGUCAUUCUACCAAUGGCAAUCUGAAAACAGAGAAGCUCAACUCCUUUGAUUUGGCUCAAACAACUUUCUGAUGUGCACAGAGGAGGUUUGUGAAAUGAGGAGGGAAGACCAUCUAUCAUAAACCCCAGGCUACUGUCCAAUUAACAAGGCCAUCCUGUGUCUGAGAAACUGUUGAAUCUGGCCUUGGGCCAUAAUUCAUUCUUAUUAGAGCCAAUAAUUUCCAUCAUUAACAUAGUGGCUUCUCCUGGCCUACACUGAGCAGAUAGAUAGGCUCUAGAGAAACUUUAACAUGUAAAAAGCCCUGGCAGAUACUGCCCUGGUCAUAGGUGGGUAAUCCUCAACAUACCUCAACAAAGAGGGUGAAAGAGAGAGAAGUAUCGUUUUAUUAGUGUAGCGACACAAGUAGUCCAGUUUUCUUAAAUUCUUCCUGAAGUUCCAAGAUGGCAGCCUCAAGGCUAAUUUUAGCUGAAGUCAACUUAUUUUCUCUAGGUCAGAGAAAAGUUCUGUGAAAUUCAGGGCAGCGACUGCACCUUAACAGAGCAACUCUCCUUUUACUUUCUCUGGGCUGGUAUUAGAGACACCAGCCUUUAGGAAGCCCAGGUGCUGACACUCUACCUCUACAGAAGAUUUCUCAGUCCAAGUGAGAAGCUCAUGGAAUCACCAUGCUCCUCUCUCAUAUUGACGCUGGGCAGAAGGUGAAGACAUCUGGCUGAGUACACGUGGGAACCUGACUCUGCCCUAGCAGGUAGUAGAGCACAAGCUGGGAUGGAUAAUUCUGGUCCUUUUCUACUCUGUGCAGUGCUGGACUAAUGUGAGAAGUCUUCUUUUUGGAGGGCUGAAUUUGGACAACCCGUUCUGUGCUCUUGAAAGUGAGAGUCUGGUCACCUAAUUGCCAGAGUCCGUUACGUUUCAAUUCAGGACACACAUGGGCCUAGC
rnacentral:lncRNA from 1 species